UUGGGCUCAAAUCCCAAUUUUUGGGUCUCAGCUCCCAAAUUUUGGGGUUCUUGGGUUGAUUUUGGGGUCCAGGUCCCAAUUUUGGACUUUCUGGACCCAAAUUUUGGGAUUCAGGGACAAAUUUUAGGUCUCAAUUCCCAAAUUUUGGGUCUCAAAUCCCAAUUUUUGGGGUCCAGGUACCAAUUUUGGACUUUCUGGACCCAAAUUUUGGGCUGAAAUCCCGAAUUUUGGGCUCCAAGCCCCAAUUUUGGACUUUCUGGACUCAAAUUUUGGGCUCAAAUCCCAAUUUUUGGGGCUCCAUUCCCAAAUUUUAGGGUCCAAGUCCCAAUUUUGGACUUUCUGGACCCAAAUUUUGGGAUUUUGGAGCAGAUUUUGGGCUCAAAUCCCAAAUUUUGGGGUUCCAUUCCCAAAUUUUAUGGUCCAGGUCCCAAUUUUGGUCCUUCUGGACCCAAAUUUUGGGCUCAAAUCCCAAUUUUUGGGUCUCAGCUCCCAAAUUUUGGGGUUCUUGGGUUGAUUUUGGGGUCCAGGUCCCAAUUUUGGACUUUCUGGACCCAAAUUUUGGGUCUGGACCCAAAUUUUGGGAUUUUGGAGCAGAUUUUGGGCUCAAAUCCUGGAAUUUUGGGGUUCUUGGGAUAAUUUUGGGCUCCAAGUCCCAAUUUUGGACUUUCUGGACCCAAAUUUUGGGCUCAAAUCCCAAUUUUUGGGUCUCAGCUCCCAAAUUUUGGGGUUUUUUGGUUGGUUUUGGGGUCCAAGUCCCAAUUUUAGGCUUUCUGGACUCAAAUUUUGGACUCAAAUCCCAAUUUUUGGUCUCAAAUCCCAAUUUUUGGGGCUCCAUUCCCAAAUUUUGGGGUCCAGGUCCCAAUUUUGGACUUUCUGGACCCAAAUUUUGGACUCAAAUCCCAGAUUUUGGGUCUCAAAUCCCAAAUUUUGGGCUCAAUUCCCAAUUUUUGGGUCUCAAUUCCCAAAUUUUGGGCUCAAAUCCCAAUUUUUGGGUCUCAAUUCCCAAAUUUUGGGAUUCUUGGGAUAAUUUUGGGCUCCAAGUCCCAAUUUUGGACUUUCUGGACCCAAAUUUUGGGCUCAAAUCCCAAUUUUUGGGUCUCAAAUCCCAAAUUUUGGGCUCAAAUCCCAAUUUUUGGGGUUCCCAACCCCCCAA
rnacentral:lncRNA from 1 species